UUGGGAUAGAUUUUUGAAUUAAGGUUGAAUAUGGUAAGUAAGGUAGGGUAUACUUAUUAACAUUACAUUUCAUUCACAAUUCAAUAUAUCAUUUUUGUCAUUUUAUAAUAGGAUAAAUUAGUAAUUCAAUAAAUAAUUUGAUAGUAUGGUAUACUCAAUUAAUUUUAUGGUUCGUUUAAUAGCGCUCAUAUAUAUUACUCAAUCUUCUCUUCCCAUCAUUGUUAAUAUUAAAAAAGAACCGGAAAAUUCAUGUUUUCUCAAAUGUAUUCAUUGGACAAUGUCAAUGACCCAUGUUAUAAAUACCAAAGUUAAUUUCUUUUUUUUUCUUUUCUUUUCUUUUUGGUCGAAAGAUUAAUUUCUUUAUAGACACCAAGAUUAACUCUCUCUUUUUUGUCAUUCACUAGGGAGGGGAGGAGGAAUAAUAUAUUGGGUUGUCUCAAGAUUAUCUCAUACAUGAAUCGAACUCAAAUGCACUCUUAGGGGUGAGGGUGAGAGGAGAGUUUGGCCCCCAAAAUUAACUCCAAACCUGUGUUUUGGGAGAGAAAAAAAUCUCAUGGUGACAUGGAUGUCCAAGAUUCUCUCUUAGAUACGGGUAAAUGCACAUAUAAAUGAAUACAUACAUUGAAUCAUUCAAAAUAUGCAUAUGGAUGGCUU
rnacentral:lncRNA from 1 species